rnacentral:rRNA from 1 species
GACGAACGCUGGCGGCGUGCCUAACACAUGCAAGUCGAGCGGAGAUUAUAGCAAUAUGAUCUUAGCGGCGGACGGGUGAGUAACGCGUGGGCAACCUGCCUUAUACAGGGGGAUAACACUGGGAAACUAGUGCUAAUACCGCAUAACAUCAUUUUAUGGCAUCAUAGGAUGAUCAAAGGAGUAAUCCGGUAUGAGAUGGGCCCGCGUCCGAUUAGCUAGUUGGUGAGGUAAAAGCUCACCAAGGCGACGAUCGGUAGCCGAACUGAGAGGUUGAUCGGCCACAUUGGGACUGAGACACUGCCCAGACUCCUACGGGAGGCAG